UACGUAGGGUGCAAGCGUUGUCCGGAAUUAUUGGGCGUAAAGAGCUCGUAGGCGGUUUGUCGCGUCUGCUGUGAAAACUCGGGGCUUAACCCCGGGCCUGCAGUGGGUACGGGCAGACUAGAGUGCGGUAGGGGAGACUGGAAUUCCUGGUGUAGCGGUGAAAUGCGUAGAUAUUGGGAGGAACACCGGUGGCGAAGGCGGCAUCCUGGACCAACACUGACACUGAGGAGCGAAAGCCAGGGGAGCAAACGGG
rnacentral:rRNA from 1 species